rnacentral:rRNA from 1 species
UACGUAGGGUGCAAGCGUUGUCCGGAAUUAUUGGGCGUAAAGAGCUCGUAGGCGGUCUGUCGCGUCAGCUGUGAAAACCUGGGGCUCAACCCCGGGCCUGCAGCCGAUACGGGCAGACUAGAAUUCGGUAGGGGAGACUGGAAUUCCUGGUGUAGCGGUGAAAUGCGCAGAUAUCAGGAGGAACACCGGUGGCGAAGGCGGGUCUCUGGGCCGUAACUGACGCUGAGGAGCGAAAGCGUGGGGAGCGAACAGG